UAAUCCUUGAGCUCUUCCAAG
rnacentral:piRNA from 1 species